UACAGAGGUCCCAAGCGUUGUUCGGAUUCACUGGGCGUAAAGGGUGCGUAGGUGGUUGUGUAAGUUUGAUGUGAAAUCUCCGGGCUUAACCCGGAAAUUGCAUUGAAUACUAUAUGGCUUGAGGGUUGGAGGGGGGACUGGAAUUCUUGGUGUAGCAGUGAAAUGCGUAGAUAUCAAGAGGAACACCAGUGGCGAAGGCGGCAUCCUGGACCAAUAUUGACGCUGAGGAGCGAAAGCUAGGGGAGCAAACGGG
rnacentral:misc_RNA from 1 species